rnacentral:rRNA from 1 species
GUAGUCCACGCCGUAAACGAUGGAUACUAGCUGUUGGGGGUAUCGACCCCCCCAGUAGCGAAGCUAACGCGUUAAGUAUCCCGCCUGUGGAGUACGGUCGCAAGACUAAAACAUAAAGGAAUUGACGGGGACCCGCACAAGCGGUGGAUCGUGUUCUUUAAUUCGAUGAUAAACGAAGAACCUUACCAGGGUUUGACAUCCUUGGAAUUACUCCGAAAGGAGUGAGUGCUUUAUUGAGCCAAGUGACAGAUGUUGCAUGGCCGCCGUCAGCUCGUGUCGUGAGAUGUUUGGUUAAGUCCAUCAACGAGCGCAACCCUUGUGAAUAGUUGUAUUUUUCUAUUCAGACUGCCCCGGUAACGGGGAGGAAGGAGGGGAUGAUGUCAGGUCAGUAUUACUCUUACAUCCUGGGCUAGAAACACGAUACAAUGGCUAGUACAAUGCGCAGCGAAGCCGCGAGGUGGAGCAAAUCGCAUCAAAGCUAGUCCCAGUUCGGAUAAGAGGCUGAAACUCGCCUCUUUGAAGUCGGAAUCGCUAGUAAUCGCAAAUCAGCAAGUUGCGGUGAAUACGUUCCCGGGUCUUGUACACACCGCCCGUCAAACCAUGAAAGUCACCAACACCCGAAGUCCGAUUCGUCGGCCUAAGGUGGGGGGGAUGAUUGGGGUU